UCAAUCGUUCCCACGAAGCAGCAGGAGCAGAGAGCAGCCAAUUGCGGUUGGUUCUAUAUCGGAGGCAUUGCUGUGUCUGGCAGCAGAAAUCAAAGACAGUGGAUGGGGUGGACAUCCCAGUCCACAUCAUUGGGGAUGCAGCCUACCCUUUACGCCACUGGCUAAUGAAAGAAUACACCCAGCAUUUGCAGCUGUCUUCCAUCCAAGUGGCAUAUACCCACACUCUUUCGGCACGGAUGGUGGUGGAGAAUGCCUUUGGCCGCCUGAAAGGACGUUGGCGCUGCCUCAUGAAGAGGAAUGAUGUUGACCUCAAAUUUAUGCCCCAUGUAGUAGCGGCCUGCUGUGUCCUUCACAACAUAUGUGAACUGCAGAAGGAACAGUUUCCAGAGGAGUGGACUGUGACGGACCCUGAAGUGACACCCUCUAGUGUAGAUCUGGAGGUGUCUGGGGGUCAACAUUCCUUUAGUGCCAAACUCAUUAGGGAAACCAUUUGUACCAACCUUAACGAGAUGUUAAAAUAAUUCAUAAUGUUUACAAUUUUACAUGAACAAAAAGUUUGCACUGUU